AGUACGUGAAACUGCUUAGAGGUUAAACCCGAUGAACCUGAAUAUCCAUUAUGGAAAAUUCAUCAUUAAUAAUAUAGUAUAAAUAAUAUUGUAUAAAUAGUGUGCAAUUUUUCCAUAUAAGGACAUUGUAAUCUGUUAAUGUAAUAAAUAUUUAUCAUAAGAUUCAUUACACUUAGUUUAUUCAAAUUAUUUAUUUUCGGAUAUUUAACAUAGAAUAAAUGUUUUGGAUUUGAUAAAUCAUUGACAGAUAUAAUUAUAUAAUGUGCUUAAAUUCUUUAGAAUUUUAUCAAUGGUAGGAAAUAUUUUUUCUUAUUUAAUUGUAUGCAUUAUUAUGAUUAACAAUGCGAGAGAUUCAGGAUACCUUCGGGACCCGUCUUGAAACACGGACCAAGGAGUCUAACAUAUGUGCAAGUCAUUGGGUAUUUUUAAUAAAACCCAAUGGCGUAAUUAACUUAACUGAUUUAAUGGGAUUAGUUUAUAUUUUGUUAUGAAAUAUUAAUUCAAUCCCGGGGCGUUCUAUAUAGUUAUGUAUAAUAGUAUUUAUAUUAUUUAUGCCUCUAACUUGAGCGUACCUUGAGC
rnacentral:rRNA from 1 species